rnacentral:tRNA from 1 species
GUGAAUAUGGCUUAGUGGUAGAGUGCUUGCCUAGCAUGCAUGAAGCCCUGGGUUCAGUCCCUCAGUACCACA